CUCAAAACGUAAUGCACGUAUGUGAUCCUCUGGCAUUGUGCACCUCUGGGCACCUCUCUGAAUGCUGCUUUCAGUUAAACCUUCUGCGUUUGUGGCAGUUGUUUUCUUCAGUUCAACUGAACUCACUGGCCUGUUAGGGUCCCUGUUUCUCUGAAAGAGGCCCACACACAUCUGACCCUAUUUGUGUAGGUCACCUUCACACCAGUGCCAAUUUAGCAGCUGCUGGGUGUUUGUGGUGAGCAAUCCCACUGCCUCCUCAUACACUUAGUGAACCUGUGAAGGGAAUCAUGAUCUGAAGGAUGUCAGGCCUGGCCCUACCAUGAGACAGGCAGCAGCCUCGGGUGACAGGUACUGAGGGGCAGGAAGUGGGCAGGCCUCUGUGUGCCCCCUAAGCUGACCUGAUGCCCUUAGGGGCAGUGGAGGACGCUGCCCCAUUGCCAGUGUCAAAUGACAAUUCAGUUGCCAGUCUGAAUUGGGGCACAGAAGCCAUCUUGUCCUUUGCUUCUGUCAGCAAAGUGUCUUGCACUGACCCUGCUCUGCUGACAGGUGAAGGGACGUCCAGUUCUAACAUCAGGGGUGUCAGCUUGAAUAAAAUAUGGGUGGGGCAGGAAAGCCCCACCCCGCAUAAUCGUUCACAUAACACAGUACACAUGCACCAUUUGAACGGCAAUGCCUAUCAACAAGGGGGGCUUUUAUUGUUGUUUAGUCGUUUAGUCUUGUCCGACUCUUCGUGACCCCAUGGACCAGAGCAUGCCAGGCACUUCUGUCUUCCACUGCCUCCCGCAGUUUGGUCAAACUCAUGCUGGUAGCUUGGGGGGCAGCCCCCUCAAAUAUAUAUAUUUUGGUGGGGCCAAAGAGACUGUGGCCUCUAGGAGCUGGUUCCCAUGUCUAACACAAUCCUUUAUGGGUCAGGCCUCUGGGGAAUUUUAAUGCAAACGUUCACAUGAUGUUAUAAGAAAUGAAUUAGCAUAUAGAGACUUUCUGGAGUAGAAACCAUAAUUGAGCUCUGUAUACUUCCUCAAUUAUGAGGCGAAUGGGGGUGACUCAGGUGUGGUUUUCUCAGGCCAAAAUUAGAUUAUGCCGCUAACAUGGCGUCUCAAGUCAGUUCAGGGAUUUCCUAAAGUCCCACGACACUCUUUGGACUUGGGUACACAACACAAAAAUUGCUGCAUUGUUAAAGGGACCACUUUAAUUUUUUGGGUGUGUAAAGGAGUGAAAGCAAGCUGACUAGGGAAACACACUGAGCAGGUGAGGAAGAGAGUGGGAGAGGUAGGGGAAUCUUUCAUUUUGACAGUGAGGUCUAUCUAGCAUACCCUCCAACAUUUCUCCAGUGAAAAUAGGGAUGUCCCAUUCCAUAAUGAUAAUUUUACUAUUUAUAACCUACAUAUCUUACUGGGUUGCCCCAGCCACUCUGGGCAGCUACCAACAUAUAUAAAAACAUAAUAAACAUGAAACAUGAAAAAAACUUCCCCAUAUAGGAUUGCCUUCAGACAGCUCAGGGGUCAGAUAACUCCAUACCCUCCAACAUUUCUCCAAUGAAAAUAGGGACAUCCUAAGGAAAAGUGGGACAUUCCAGGAUCAAAUCAGAAUCAAGGACAUCCUUGGAAAAUAGGAACACUUGGAGAGUCUGGUCUAGGUUUUAACUACAGCGAAUUAUUUUCUUUCUUUCUUCAGUCACAUUGAUUUGGGGGAAGAAUGUUUAAAUAAAUGUUUUCAAUUGGCUCUAUGCUGGUUUUCCCCCCCACUUCCCCUUCCUCUUGGCAAGUUAAAGGGGAGAUUGCUCUCUAUCCCUGAAUUGUUCAUUAGUUCAGUGGAACUAACUCCCGGUUUGGGUAAAUGGGUAUAGAAUUGCAUUUUCCUGGGAGUUACUGGUAGUUUGCCACUUUUCCAGGUAAUAGGAAUCCAAUUGCAGCUAUUGCCGUUUUAAAAAUGAAUAGACAGAUGCAAUGUAGAAAACACAUUCCUGUAUGAAAAUAUUGUUAGAAAAAAGAUAUUAAAAUGUUAGUUUAAAAAAAUAUAUCAGAUUGCUGCAAGUGAUGGGAACUGUGAGUGCAGUGGGUUUGUUUUUAUGUUCUGUUACAGAGAUAAUAGACAUUUAUUGAGGGUUGUAAAUUUUAAGGGUGUACUGGGAAGGGCUCUGUGAGGAGUCUCCUGACAACUCUUAGCAUCUUUAGCAAACCACAGUUCCCAAGAUUCUUUGGGGGAUGCAAUGACUAUUCAAGUGUGUCAGAGUGAUUGAAGCCUAUGGUGCGGAUGUGACCUCAGUUUUUAGAACAGGCCCUUUUCUGGGGUUGCAAGGGUGUUCACUACUUUUAUAUUUUAAUGUUAACUUUUAACAUGAAAUGUGUUUUUUUACUGUAAUUAUCACAAAAGCCCUGUUAGCUUGGCUGUGAAUCCUACAUUGUAUGUAUACGUGACCCAGUUUUAAUACUCCUGUGUAUCAGAAAGUUUACAAUAUUGUGUUUCUGUUGCAGCAUAUCCAGACAUAGUACACUGUUUUCUAGAAUAGGACCAAAAGCUUUAAACAUGUGAGUGUAUAAAACAUUCUGUGUUCCCUUCGCUGCUCCAUCAGCAAGUGGAAUGGCUAUUGCAAUUAGUGAGAAUGUAACUCUGGAAGUCAACCAUAAAAGUGCAAUUCCCGGAGGCCUUUCCCCAGUGAAAGUUUCAUGCAGGCCAUGCAAUAUUAACAAAACACAGCCACCUCAAAGCAUAGAGUCAAAAACCUCCAUGUGUUCAGUUUCCUUCAGCUAUAAAGGAUUUUACUCUGCAAAGUUCCUUCAAUAUAUCUGAGAAAGUAGCAAACAACAGGUUCCCUUCUGGCUACAGAAGAGGUUCAUGGCCACUAGUAGCUCAGAUGAAAAACCAAAUAAGCAGGGAUUGCUGGCAGUUCAACACUGUUACAGGGAUUGCUGGCAGUUAGUAGGGUUAAAUUUGCUGAAAUACCAGUUUAUGGUGGCUUGGAGCUAAUUUCACUGUCAUUGACAUAUAACCAGGAAGGAGAUCAUCUGGCCCUAUAGAUUCUGUUGAAUGGCUGCAAUUGGCUGAGCCUGAUGAUUGGAGUUAUAGUUCAGCCAAUCUGGCAGACCAGAGGUUUCCCACCACCACAUUGUAAGGUUGUCUGCUUCUUGUCUAGAUAUGGUGCCUACAGAUCACUUUGCUGUACUAAGGGACUGGAUAUCUUGAGCCACCCAGUCUUGAAACGUAACUCUUCAGGAAGCUGUGGGCUCCUAUCAGAAGUGAUUGGCCUCCCUACGAUCCCUUACAAUAUUCACCCCAGUCUGGUAUAAAUGUUUACAGGAAUUUUGAGAAGUAGAAGGACGGCUAUUUGUGUUCCUAAAUUACUCCCUAGGUUUGGCUAUUCCAUCCCUGUAAAGCUAUUAACCUGACUGCUGAAACUUCCUGUUUCCUUCCAGGCUGGGACAGACUUCCUCUACAUGUGACCAGAGGUGGGCGUGGCCUCGCCUGUGCAGGUAACAAAAGCAUAGGACGGCCGUCAUCUCUCUCUGACUACAUUCGUCAAAGAAGCAACAUUUGCUUAGCUGAAGAUUUUGUGGACUACAAUCUACCUCGGCAGAUGCAUGAAGUGUCAUCCUGAGUUACACAGAGACAGACUCGGGAGGUCAGAGAGAAAUCCAAUGCCAAAAAGUACAGACAAUAAUAAUUAUGAAAUCAGUAGUAGUGCUGUAUUUUAUCCCAGAUCAGUUCACAAGUGAGAGUAUUGAACUUAUUGAUGUAUUGUAAUUCAGCAGUUCCACUUUUCAGUCUCCCUUUGAGAUUCCUUUGUUUCAGGAUGGCCACUCACUCUUAAAGUCACAUAUAGGGUGUCCUGGUGGUUGAAAUGUUUUGACACACUGGCUUUUGAAUAUUGCCAUUUCUGAUGUCAGAUCUGUGUCCA